rnacentral:tRNA from 1 species
UCCGCCAUGGUGUAAUUGGCAACACAGCGGCCUUUGGAGCCGUUAUUCAAGGUUCGAGUCCUUGUGGCGGAGCUA